AUUCAGAGACUUGUUACUGUUUUAUAACGUUGGGUCCACCAGUAUGUUCCCCAAUAUUUGGCCACUAUGGCUGAUGGCUACCCUAAGGACAGGAAUGUCUGCGACAGUUCCAGAGGAAUUUUGUGGGGGUAUUUUUGAGGCGGAGAGCUCUGGGGACAUCAGGGUGCCCACGCACGGAUCUAAUUACUCACCGAACUUAAACUGUCGCUGGGAAAUCCAGGCGGGGCCCGACCAAAUGGUGGCGCUGGUCUCCACGGAGUGGGCAGUGGAGGAGUCCCCCGGAUGCACCUGGGACUACCUGGAGAUACGAGACGGCUGGGAGAACAGCAGCGCCUCUGUCGGCAAAUUCUGCGGAUACAAACCUCUCAGGUUUUUGUCGGAAUCCAACAAAGUCUAUCUGUAUUUUGUGUCCGACGGGUUUUUUCAGGACAAUGGGUUUCGACUAACAUUUAAAACUGUUCCGAAAGAUCAAAAGAACUCAAUAUUUUCUGGUUGGCUCCCACACCGAUUUAUGGGUUUCUUUUCUUGACGUCACAGACGGCACCUGUUUGUUUGACCUUAUUGACAUCUUUGAAGGAAUUACGUCACAUGACAAACUCCUCACAACGCUUUGUGGAAAACAGAGAAACCUGACCAUAAGCAGCCAGUCAAAUUCUCUAGUGUUAGUUUUUACCUCUGAUUAUUUCCAAGAGGGGCGGGGCUUCAAGAUAUACGCAAGAUCCCGAAACGCUAACAGCUCAAAUCGGCCAAGAGGGCAUGACAAUGGUUGUAAUACCACUAUAGAGAACGUGCCCAAUGGGACUAUAUCCAGCCCAGGGUACCCGGAGGAUUAUCCAAACAACGCGUUCUGUAGAACUAUCAUCCGGGCUCCGAAAACCAAUCACGUGAUUCAAGUUAACGUCACGUUCAUAGAAAUGGAAUCGUAUGAAAACUGUUCCUUUGAUUCGCUGACGGUUUUUGCAACAGAACAUCUGGAGUCUACACAGAUAGGGAGGGUAUGCGGACUGCCUGAGGAGAGUCGUGUGUUCGAAUCCGCCUCUGAGAGUAUUCGACUGGAGUUCCGUUCCGACUCCAUGAUCCACUGGAGAGGCUACCAGGCAACUUUCCAACUCAUCCCUAAAAAAGCAUGUUAUCCGUCCUGCCUGCCGGGGACUGUUUGUGUGAACCAGGGCGGAUCUCUCAACUGUGUGGCUGGACUAAAGUGUCCGGUGGAUAUUUGUAACCAUGGCGACUGUGUCCAAAAUCACCAAGGGGAAUUCAAGUGUUUCUGUCACCAUGGCUACACAGGGGCGUUCUGUAGAAUCAAAGGCAACAGCGAAAAGAACUCCACAAGAAUGAUCAUGCUGAAGUCUCCAUCAGAUCUUGCAGUGUUCCGUGGAGAACGAGAAAUAAUAGAAUGUAAUUCUAACGACCCAAGUGCUCAGUAUAUCUGGUUAUUCAAGGACAUGCUCCUACAGUCCGAUUCUGCACAUAUAACGGUGUUACCAGGAGGAAUCCUCGACAUCCGGGACUUUAAUGAGGAACUUCAAGGAACAUACAAGUGUAUCGCUAGCACGGCUACAGACUUUGCAGAAACCGAAUUUCGCCUUAGCCUUAAAGAGAAAUGCUUUCUAGUCGUGGAGACCCCGCCGGAAGACACCGCUGUAGAAUCCGGAAGUACUGUUCUACUCUCUUGCUUUGUCCCUGAUGCUAAGAAAAUUACGUGGUUCAAAGAUGGCAAGCAACCUCUUUCUACGCAACAUACGAUCCUGGCAAGUGGAUUUUACCUUAAAAUAGAUUCGGUUAAACACAACGACGUAGGAAACUAUUCCUGUCUAGCGGAGGGAGAAGGUGGUUGUUCGGCCCAGCGGUCUGCAAUGUUAACCAUUGUCGAGGAAACGAAAAUGGAUCAAGAAGAUAAAUGUGGUGUACCAGCGUUAUCUGGUAUGGUACCACAACUAAGCAGCAGGAUAAGUGGCGGAAGAGCAGUAACCAUGGAAACAACAGCCUGGCAUGUCAUUCUCAGGGAAAACGAAAAGGAAAAGACGUUUUGUGGAGGAACCCUGAUCUCCAAUACCUGGGUUGUUACGGCCGCCCAUUGUUUCGCCCAUUAUCCAAGCGAAUUCAAGCGCCCAUUUGUCAAGUCCAACAUUGACGUCAUUCUGGGCACGAAUCAGUGUAAGGGAAAGGACGGAGUCAAAAGGAAAAUCAAGCGGUACAUUAUCCACCCGAAGUUUGCUGAAAGGUCCAGUUAUGACAACGACAUAGCGCUUAUAGAAAUGGACGAAGCUGUUAAUUUCACCGAAAAAAUUCAGCCGCUGUGUCUGAAACCUACCAGUAUUAUUGACGAUUUGUUUCUGUCUCGGCGUGGGGGAAGGAGGGUGGGGCGCGUGAUUGGGUGUGGUCAGAGGUACGAAAACAUCGAGGACACUCCCGAUCUUAUCCAAGACGUAUACGUUCCUAUCAUUUCCCGCGAGAUCUGCACUGGCGCAAACAUUGGGACCGGAAACUUCACGGACACCAUGUUUUGUGCGGGUUAUGAGCGCGCGCUUUUUGGUGACGCCUGUUACGGAGAUAGCGGGGGGUCACUGAGUGUCCAACUGUCGGACAGUCACCCCUGGGUUUUGGUGGGCGUGGUUUCGUGGGGUGUAGGGUGCGACAGACCAGGCCAAUAUGGUUAUUAUACAAACGUCGGAAAGUUUUACAACUGGAUUCAAGAAAAUGUGAAUUAGUCGAAACUGAAAACGUUAUCUCAAAUCCAAUAUUUAGAUACUUGAUUAAAUGAAUGUUUUUGGACAAUUUCGAGUCUUAAAAUGAUUCUUGUAUUAUGUAGUUUCUUAUUCAGAUGACAACGACACAUUUUGCGGAUUUUUUUUAUCAAAGAAAAAUAAAUCAGCCAAUUUAAAAAAUAAAACACCAGUGCGGACGAGUCUGCUAUAUAUGGAGCUAAUUAUGAUUGUUAAAUGGAUAUUUGAACUUUUGAACUUUUUUCAAAGAUGUAUGAAAGUUGUCUGUGUUGCCAAUGCAAUCAGCAAAUGUUCCAUUCCAACUAACACAAGAAGCAUUAUGACAUUGUACAGCAAAAGAAAUCCUCUCAAUCAGAAGCAGAGCUAGGGACAAUGUUUGUAAGCAAUAGGUCUAGCUAAGCACGUUUUCAAAUAGUAUAUAUUUUAAUACAUGUACCUUAUCCAGCCAUGAUGUUGAAAUUGUACUUGUAGAACAAGCUGUAUUGGAUAUAGCCCAUGUUCAUAUUCUUUUUUUCUGUUGUCAACAUUAAAUUAAAUAUAUUGGAACAAU
rnacentral:misc_RNA from 1 species